GCCCGCCUGGUCUAGUGGUGACUAUCUCGCACUAAGCCCAUGUCAAUCAACAUGCUUACCCCCUAUGACCUUGAUUAUAAAACAAAGAAAACUUGCGAGAGCUGGGUUCAAAUCCCAGGGUGGGCU